rnacentral:rRNA from 1 species
AUUGAACGCUGGCGGCAUGCUUUACACAUGCAAGUCGAACGGUAACAGGGAGCUUGCUCCGCUGACGAGUGGCGAACGGGUGAGUAAUGCGUCGGAACGUGCCGAGUAGUGGGGGAUAACGCAUCGAAAGGUGUGCUAAUACCGCAUACGUACUGAGGUAGAAAGUGGGGGACCUUCGGGCAUCACGCUAUUCGGGCGGCCGACGUCUGAUUAGCUAGUUGGUGAGGUAAAGGCUCACCAAGGCGACGAUCAGUAGCGGGUCUGAGAGGAUGAUCCGCCACACUGGGACUGAGACACGGCCCAGACUCCUACGGGAGGCAGCAGUGGGGAAUUUUGGACAAUGGGCGCAAGCCUGAUCCAGCCAUGCCGCGUGUCUGAAGAAGGCCUUCGGGUUGUAAAGGACUUUUGUCCGGGAGCAAAUGCUGGUGGCUAACAUCCACCGGAGCUGAGAGUACCGGAAGAAUAAGCACCGGCUAACUACGUGCCAGCCGCCGCAGUAAAAC